rnacentral:rRNA from 1 species
GCCUAACACAUGCAAGUCGAGCGGCAGCACGAGUGAGUUUACUUAUGAGGUGGCGAGCGGCGGACGGGCUGAGUAAUGCCUAGGGAUCUGCCCAGUCGAGGGGGAUAACCAGUUGGAAACGACUGCUAAUACCGCAUACGCCCUACGAGGGUGAAAGGAGGGGACCUUCGGUGCCUUCCGCGAUUGGAUGAACCUAGGUGGGAUUAGCUAGUUGGUGAGGUAAUGGCUCACCAAGGGCGACGAUCCCUAGCUGUUCUGAGAGGAUGAUCAGCCACACUGGGACUGAGACACUGGCCAGACUCCUACGGGAGGCAGCAGUGGGGAAUAUUGCACCAAUAGGGGGAAACCCUGAUGCAGCCAUGCCGCGUGUGUGAAGAAGGCCUUCGGGUUGUAAAGCACUUUCAGUAGAGGAGGAAAGGGUGAGUCUUAAUACGGCUCAUCUGUGACGUUACCAUACAGAAGAAGGACCGGACUAACUACCGUGCCAGCAAGACGCGGUAAUACGGAGGGUCCGAGCGUUAAUCGGAAUUACUGGGCGUAAAGCGUGCGCAGGCG